CGAGGUGAAUAGUGCAUAGUUGAGGGGCAAAAUGGUAAAAAGGGACUUAAACCCUUUUAUCUUCUUCUCCUCUCAACCGUGGCUGCUCAAACCGCAUGCCACACACACCCACAACACACGCAUGGAGAAAGGAAAGGAGAAAGCUCUCUUUCUCUCUCUAGAUUUCUCACAAAAUUAAGGAAAUUGGUGGAAAAGUAAGCUUAAAGAUGGAUUUUCAUCUUCAUCAUCAUCUUCCUCUCCGUUGGAGCUAUUUUGAGAGGUAAACAAACGCGUUGGCGAAGACGGUUCGGCAAUCCGACGAGCCGUUGCGAAGUUAUUAAAGAAACGGACGUUUAGGCUUCGGGUCCGCCGGGAGGGCCGAGGCGACGUCGUAAAAUCCUGGAAACGGAUUUGAAGCACCGUAACAGCAAAACGAAGACCCUUUUUACCCGGGGCUGCGAAGCGAUGCGCGGUUGGUGAGUAAUUUCGAGUUCGGGCCGAACCGGGCACCGGGUACCGCGGGAGGCCGAUUGCAAGUGUCGACAAGCAAUCGGAACGCGAAUCGAGGUUCGCACGUGAGCGGCGCGGCGGCGCGAGGCAAGGGCGUAGCUUCGUAGAUAG